rnacentral:lncRNA from 1 species
CACUAAGCAAUACCCCUCGUGGAAUAGGUUGAAACUGUACAAUCAAGAAUUGAAGAUCCAUAUAAUCUUGGGUGAUCACUCUCCAUCCCAUAAUCCAUAGUGGGUGGACGGUACUCCAUUUCUUCUUCCUCUUCAUAGACAUAUUCAGGUAUCUCAAUAUCCUUUCUCCUCACAUUUUCCCACAGAAAUUCCAACCUGUUCACAUAUCUCACCUUCCAAUACCACCUGCAAAAUUUUCGAAAAAUGAAUUCGACCAAAAAAACCAAAAAAAAACUAGUUCAAAAUUAAUAAAUUUAACAUGACAGCUUAAGCUUACCCUCCGGGUCCAGGGAAGAUGAGACGGCCAAACGUCGCGAGGAAGAGGCGGGACUGAAAUCCAGGAUGGAGGAAAUAAAUUGAGUCCAGAUUCUCUCUAAUUUUAACUGGAAUUGCCUCGUAGAUUGAUCUCAAUGCUGAAAUGCCUGGGAAGUUGUCGCUU